UGUAAUUUUUUAUAUUCACAUUUAUUUCUUCUUAACUAUAACGGGAUUCUAACGUAUAAAUUUAUUAUUUCCUAUAAAACAAGUAACAGUGUAUAAAUAUUUUGCAGUAAACUAUUUCGGAGAGAUAAAUGGGUCUGAUUGAUCUAGGGUGAAACAGUGUUUUAUUUAACAAAGCAUACGUCGUCAUACAGUCGUCUUCAUGAAAUCCAAUUUUUAAAUUGUUUGAUCUGUGGUCUUAGUGGCUUGAUAUAACGUGGACUUAUAUGUGUAUUGCUGUCUCCCAGUGAGAGGUUACAACAGUUAGUGCAAUUCAACAUACUCGUCAACAGAAAUCUGGAAUUCUAACCAAACCUUAAAACCUCCGAAGUCUCCGAAGAAAGAACCUAAAGGUCCAGCUUAGGCACCACUCCGAAUGAUACUGUGUAUACUGCUUAACCAAACACCCUGGAGGUCUUUAUGAAGAAACAAACUGAGGCAAUACAUUGAUGACGUCAAUGAAGACAUAACGAGAAACGACUUGCGGUCGAAUAUUUAUUUAAGUUACAGCAGUGGAAAACGAAAUUGUGUGUGCUGAUAUCACUUGAAAAUUUAACCAGUAAAUGCACCUAACCCUGUCAUGACGCCAUCAGUCGUUGAUCACUAUUACCGGCUAGUUUCUCGUACUAAUGUAAUACCUCAAUUAUGUUUUGUAUUUUUAGAUUUAAUCCAGAUAGGAAAAACUAAGAUUAAUGUGCUUAAAUAUAAACAUCUAGUACAGAUCUUA